UACGAAGGGGGCUAGCGUUGCUCGGAAUUACUGGGCGUAAAGCGCGCGCAGGCGGCUAUCCAAGUCAGUGGUGAAAGCCCGGAGCUCAACUCCGGAACUGCCAUUGAAACUGUUUAGCUGGAGUAUGAGAGAGGUGAGUGGAAUUCCCAGUGUAGAGGUGAAAUUCGUAGAUAUUGGGAAGAACACCGGUGGCGAAGGCGGCUCACUGGCUCAUUACUGACGCUCAGGCGCGACAGCGUGGGGAUCAAACAGG
rnacentral:rRNA from 1 species